GGGAAAGGGGUGUGGACCAAGAAUUUAAAUGCUAGAGCUUAAAUAAAAUUAAAGCUAAAGGGAUUCAAACUUAGUUCAAUUGGUAGCUUCAUCAAUACUUAACUAGUAUGCCGUGUCACUUGCUUAUUAUAACUCUUACAACAUUUAUUUAAAAACAUGGUGUGACAUUUUCUAAGAUUUGGAGCAAAAUCACACAAAAUAAU
rnacentral:lncRNA from 1 species